rnacentral:rRNA from 1 species
GUGAGGAAUAUUGGACAAUGGGCGCAAGCCUGAUCCAGCCAUGCCGCGUGCAGGAAGACGCAUCUAUGGUGUGUAAACUGCUUUUGUACGGGAAGAAACACUCCCUCGUGAGGGAGCUUGACGGUACCGUAAGAAUAAGGAUCGGCUAACUCCGUGCCAGCAGCCGCGGUAAUACGGAGGAUCCAAGCGUUAUCCGGAAUCAUUGGGUUUAAAGGGUCCGUAGGCGGUUUAAUAAGUCAGUGGUGAAAGCCCAUCGCUCAACGAUGGAACGGCCAUUGAUACUGUUAGACUUGAAUUACAAGGAAGUAACUAGAAUAUGUAGUGUAGCGGUGAAAUGCUUAGAUAUUACAUGGAAUACCAAUUGCGAAGGCAGGUUACUACUUGUGGAUUGACGCUGAUGGACGAAAGCGUGGGGAGCGAACAGGAUUAGAUACCCGGGUAGUCC